rnacentral:lncRNA from 1 species
AUACACUUAAGCAGAGCUGCUCCACAAUGAAUGUGUCCUUCUGCUUCUGAGAAUCAAACAAUCCUUUUGCUAAGGAAGAAAAUAAGCUGGAAAGAACACUCUCAUAUUCUCUUCCUGAAGAAAGCUUUCAAUACAGUAUGUAUCUGGUCCGGGAUGCAUUUUAUAGAUGUUAAUUUUAUAGAAUUGCUAAGAAAAAACCAAAACUGUUAAGCUCUUGCAAAGUAAAAAAUAAUUUUGAUAAAGGGUAUAGCAUUUCUAGAUUAUUUUUCAAAAUCCUAAAUGGUGCCGGCAGGCUUGUAGAAAAAUGCAUGAUCAGCUGUCUGUAUCCGUGCUAUAACCUUUAACCACAAGCAGUGUAAAUGUAUCCUGCUAAAUGUAUCUGCAGUACAGAGCGGCAGAUACCGCCUCAGAAUUUUAUUAAAAUGUGAAUGGAUUUUUUAAAACUUGGAAGCAGAAUAAAAUCAGAACAGAAAAAUAAAUUGAUGCUGAAUUCCUCUGGCUGUAUAGCUGACCAUCAUGAACGAUUAAAGCUAUCCUUAGGAUACUGACCUAAAUAAUACUAAGACUUACAGCAGCAUACUGUAUGCGUUCAGAACACAGAAAAUGCAAAAUGAUUUAUCUUCUCCCUCCCCCUCCAAAAGCUAAAUUUUAAAGUAACAAGCCAUUAAUAGGAAUACCAAAAGGCUAUAGAUAGUACAUACUGUAAGAGAAGAAAUCGUGUUGUGCUGAGAUGCAAUGUUUCUUUGUUUUACUUUGAGGCUUAUUUUAGCUAUGCUUGCAUGAUGACAUUGACAUCAGGAGGUCAGUGCUGACACUGGGUUGAUAUCCGUUUUAUGAGUGAAAUGUUUUCCGAAAAUUAAAUCUCAUCUACUCAAACACCAAAUUUCAUGUCAUCUUCAAAACCACCUCCCUACCCCCACUGCUCAAGAUUGAUGGGAUCUAGUUUGGUGGUAUGUAAUAAAUUGGAAUCACCUUCUGCAGAUAGUUCAAUAUGUAAUGGUGAGGAAUUAAUUUUUUAAAUAAAAAACAUUCAAGAAUUCUUAUGCACCCCCUUUCAUUCCUUCCUAUCAACACACGCGCACACACACACACACACACACACACACACACUCAAAGCUCGAAUUGCAAUGAAAUGUUUAACAUGUGGAACAAAAACUGUUGAAAGAGCUGCUUAUUCAGGAUUUUUAAGAAAUGCCUAAUAAGCAAAUACGGUUUUGCUGCAAAACCAGUGUCACCAGGUCCCCAAAGAGGAAAACAGCAUAGCUUGCUAGCAAAAUUUCCUCCAGAUCCUGCCGGCAGGUAAAAAAACAAAAAAGCAUUUUAUUUGCCAUGCUGUAUAAAACAAGAAGUCUUUUAUUUUUAAGGAAAUAGAACAGAUUCUUUUCCACUCUAUAGCUACAAAGAAACCAUACCCACCCCCACCCUUAGAUCCUGGACAUAAGCCAACAUUUUUAUAAAAUGCUGAGACUGAUUUUGAAUAUAUAAUAUUUAUAGUUUUCUUCUUCUUAUCUCUCCAAAAGUCUUUAAUUGCCUAUUGCAUCACUGAAUAUGCUGUUGUUAAUUUUAACGCUUGCAAAAAUGAAUUAAUAUUUUCUGGGGUUGCUAGUUUUCCAGCACCUCAAUCUUCUGUAAGGACUGGCUGAAAAUAAUCAGGUUAGCAACACAUUGAAGCUCCCCAGAAUUUUUUUAAAAGAGAAAAUAUGUUCAAACACCUUAGCUGA